rnacentral:rRNA from 1 species
GGAACACCAGUGGCGAAGGCGGCUCACUGGCUCGAUACUGACGCUGAGGUACGAAAGCGUGGGUAGCGAACAGGAUUAGAUACCCUGGUAGUCUACACUGUAAAUUCUGAGUGCUGUAAUUCAGACCAUAAAUUUGUUGUUCUGGAUUUUUUAAGCUAACGCCAUAAGCACUCCGCCUGAGGAGUACGACCGCAAGGUUGGAACUCAAAAGAAUUGACGGGGGCCUACAACGAGUGGUGGAGCAUGUGGUUUAAUGCGAUAAUCCGCGCAAAACCUUACCAACCCUUGACAUAAAGAAAAAGAAAAUAUUUUACAUAUUUAAAAUAAUUUUUGAUUGAAUAAGAUAGUUUUAAUAUCUUUUAAUAAAUUUCUUUACAGGUGUUGCACGACUGUC